AUACGUAGGGUGCGAGCGUUAAUCGGAAUUACUGGGCGUAAAGCGUGCGCAGGUGGUUUUGUAAGUCAGAUGUGAAAUCCCCGGGCUUAACCUGGGAACUGCGUUUGAAACUGCAAGGCUAGAGUGUGGCAGAGGGGGGUGGAAUUCCGCGUGUAGCAGUGAAAUGCGUAGAUAUGUGGAGGAACACCGAUGGCGAAGGCAGCCCCCUGGGUCAACACUGACGCUCAGGCACGAAAGCAUGGGGAGCAAACAGGAUUAGAUACCCCAGUAGUCC
rnacentral:rRNA from 1 species